rnacentral:rRNA from 1 species
CCUACNGGGUGCAGCAGUGGGGAAUAUUGCACAAUGGGGGAAACCCUGAUGCAGCCAUGCCGCGUGUGUGAAGAAGGCCUUCGGGUUGUAAAGCACUUUCAGUAGGGANGNAGGUAGUGUNNUUANCACCUGCAUUAUUUGACGUUACCUACAGAAGAAGCACCGGCUAACUCCGUGCCAGCAGCCGCGGUAAUACGGAGGGUGCGAGCGUUAAUCGGAAUUACUGGGCGUAAAGCGCAUGCAGGCGGCCUGUUAAGUCAGAUGUGAAAGCCCGGGGCUUAACCUCGGAAUUGCAUUUGAAACUGGCAGGCUAGAGUCUUGUAGAGGGGGGUAGAAUUUCAGGUGUAGCGGUGAAAUGCGUAGAGAUCUGAAGGAAUACCAGUGGCGAAGGCGGCCCCCUGGACAAAGACUGACGCUCAGAUGCGAAAGCGUGGGGAGCAAACAGGAUUAGAUACCCGCGUAGUC